UAACAACGAACUAUGAGAAGUCAGCAGAGGUCAUAGUACCGAAAGAAGUCUUUCGGAAAGG
rnacentral:ncRNA from 1 species